UAGGGAGUCUUCGGCAAUGGGGGGAACCCUGACCGAGCAACGCCGCGUGAGUGAAGAAGGUUUUCGGAUCGUAAAGCUCUGUUGUUAAGGAAGAACGAGUGUGAGAAUGGAAAGUUCAUACUGUGACGGUACUUAACCAGAAAGGGACGGCUAACUACGUGCCAGCAGCCGCGGUAAUACGUAGGUCCCGAGCGUUGUCCGGAUUUAUUGGGCGUAAAGCGAGCGCAGGCGGUUAGAUAAGUCUGAAGUUAAAGGCAGUGGCUCAACCAUUGUAGGCUUUGGAAACUGUUUAACUUGAGUGCAGAAGGGGAGAGUGGAAUUCCAUGUGUAGCGGUGAAAUGCGUAGAUAUAUGGAGGAACACCGGUGGCGAAAGCGGCUCUCUGGUCUGUAACUGACGCUGAGGCUCGAAAGCGUGGGGAGCGAACAGGAUUAGAUACCCUGGUAGUCCACGCCGUAAACGAUGAGUGCUAGGUGUUAGGUCCUUUCCGGGACUUAGUGCCGCAGCUAACGCAUUAAGCACUCCGCCUGGGGGAGUACGACCGCAAGGUUG
rnacentral:rRNA from 1 species